AGAGUUUGAUCCUGGCUCAGGAUGAACGCUAGCGGCAGGCUUAAUACAUGCAAGUCGAACGGGAUUCGAGGUAGCAAUACUUUGAUGAGAGUGGCGCACGGGUGCGUAACGCGUGUGCAACCUACCUUUAACAGGUGAAUAGCCCCGAGAAAUCGGGAUUAAUACACCGUAACAUUGCGAUAUGGCAUCAUACUGCAAUUAAAGAUUUAUCGGUUAAAGAUGGGCAUGCGUGACAUUAGCUAGUUGGUGAGGUAAUGGCUCACCAAGGCCACGAUGUCUAGGGGUCCUGAGAGGGUUAUCCCCCACACUGGUACUGAGACACGGACCAGACUCCUACGGGAGGCAGCAGUAAGGAAUAUUGGUCAAUGGGCGCAAGCCUGAACCAGCCAUGCCGCGUGCAGGAAGACGGCCCUAUGGGUUGUAAACUGCUUUUGUCAGGGAAUAAACCUUUGUACGUGAUACAGAGCUGAAGGUACCUGAAGAAUAAGCAUCGGCUAACUCCGUGCCAGCAGCCGCGGUAAUA
rnacentral:rRNA from 1 species